UCCGAGUUGUCCCCGGCAGUCCUCUUAAAGUCCCCGGCAUUACCCGCUGGUAACUAAGAGCAGGGGUUGCGCUCGUUGCGGCACUUAAGCCAACACCUCACGGCACGAGCUGAAGACAGCCAUGCAGCACCUGUGCUGGCCCCUUGCGGACACGGGCUUUCACCCGCUUUAACCAGCAUGUCAAGCCCAGGUAAGGUUCUUCGCGUCUCAUCGAAUUAAGCCACAUGCUCCGCCGCUUGUGCGGGCCCCCGUCAAUUCCUUUGAGUUUUAGCCUUGCGGCCGUACUCCCCAGGCGGGGUGCUUAAUGCGUUAGCUGCGGCACGGAGCGGGUUGAAGGCCGCCCCACACCUAGCACCCAACGUUUACGGCUGGGACUAC
rnacentral:misc_RNA from 1 species